rnacentral:tRNA from 1 species
GACCGCGUAGCUCAGUUGGCAGAGCGUUGGGCUAGUAUUCCAAAGGUCGUAGGUUCGAUUCCCACCGUGGAUA